rnacentral:rRNA from 1 species
AUUGAACGCUGGCGGCAGGCCUAACACAUGCAAGUCGAACGGUAACAGGAAGAAGCUUGCUUCUUUGCUGACGAGUGGCGGACGGGUGAGUAAUGUCUGGGAAACUGCCUGAUGGAGGGGGAUAACUACUGGAAACGGUAUCUAAUACCGCAUAACGUCGCAAGACCAAAGAGGGGGACCUUCGGGCCUUUUGCCAUCGGAUGUGCCCAGAUGGGAUUAGCUAGUAGGUGGGGUAACGGCUCACCUAGGCGACGAUCCCUAGCUGGUCUGAGAGGAUGACCAGCCACACUGGAACUGAGACACGGUCCAGACUCCUACGGGAGGCAGCAGUGGGGAAUAUUGCACAAUGGGCGCAAGCCUGAUGCAGCCAUGCCGCGUGUAUGAAGAAGGCCUUCGGGUUGUAAAGUACUUUCAGCGGGGAGGAAGGGAGUAAAGUUAAUACCUUGGCUCAUUGACGUUACCCGCAGAAGAAGCACCGGCUAACUCCGUG